rnacentral:rRNA from 1 species
CAGCCGCGGUAAUACGUAGGUGGCAAGCGUUGUCCGGAUUUAUUGGGCGUAAAGCGCCGCAGGCGGUCUUUUAAGUCUGAUGUGAAAGCCCCCGGCUUAACCGGGGAGGGUCAUUGGAAACUGGAAGACUGGAGUGCAGAAGAGGAAGUGGAAUUCCACGUGUAGCGGUGAAAUGCGUAGAUAUGUGGAGGAACACCAGUGGCGAAGGCGACUCUCUGGUCUGUAACUGACGCUG